UUAUCAAUUUUGAGGAAAACAUAAGCAAAACAUGAACAAACAUUUUUGAAAAAAUCCAGUAACUAACGAAAAUGUUGCUGAAAAAAAAUUGACGUUCAAGUUUUGAAUUUAUUUACUCUGUUAUUCAGAUAACUAUGACUAAAGGCUCUGCUGUACAAGUGAAUGAUUUCCAAAAACUUAUAGAGAAAAUUUUUAUUCAUCCCUUUUUAUUCUAGCAAAUAAAAAUAUGUCAUCUAUUAAAAAAAUUAUUAA
rnacentral:sRNA from 1 species